AGAGUUUGAUCCUGGCUCAGGAUGAACGCUGGCGGCGUGCUUAACACAUGCAAGUCGAACGAUGAUCCCAGCUUGCUGGGGGAUUAGUGGCGAACGGGUGAGUAACACGUGAGUAACCUGCCCUUAACUCUGGGAUAAGCCUGGGAAACUGGGUCUAAUACCGGAUAUGACUCCUCAUCGCAUGGUGGGGGGUGGAAAGCUUUAUUGUGGUUUUGGAUGGACUCGCGGCCUAUCAGCUUGUUGGUGAGGUAAUGGCUCACCAAGGCGACGACGGGUAGCCGGCCUGAGAGGGUGACCGGCCACACUGGGACUGAGACACGGCCCAGACUCCUACGGGAGGCAGCAGUGGGGAAUAUUGCACAAUGGGCGAAAGCCUGAUGCAGCGACGCCGCGUGAGGGAUGACGGCCUUCGGGUUGUAAACCUCUUUCAGUAGGGAAGAAGCGAAAGUGACGGUACCUGCAGAAGAAGCGCCGGCUAACUACGUGCCAGCAGCCGCGGUAAUACGUAGGGCGCAAGCGUUAUCCGGAAUUAUUGGGCGUAAAGAGCUCGUAGGGCGGUUUGUCGCGUCUGCCGUGAAAGUCCGGGGCUCAACUCCGGAUCUGCGGUGGGUACGGGCAGACUAGAGUGAUGUAGGGGAGACUGGAAUUCCUGGUGUAGCGGUGAAAUGCGCAGAUAUCAGGAGGAACACCGAUGGCGAAGGCAGGUCUCUGGGCAUUAACUGACGCUGAGGAGCGAAAGCAUGGGGAGCGAACAGGAUUAGAUACCCUGGUAGCCCAUGCCGUAAACGUUGGGCACUAGG
rnacentral:rRNA from 1 species